rnacentral:rRNA from 1 species
GACGAACGCUGGCGGCGUGCUUAACACAUGCCAGUCGAACGGAAAGGCCCUGCUUUUGUGGGGUGCUCGAGUGGCGAACGGGUGAGUAACACGUGAGUAACCUGCCCUUGACUUUGGGAUAACUUCAGGAAACUGGGGCUAAUACCGGAUAGGAGCUCCUGCUGCAUGGUGGGGGUUGGAAAGUUUCGGCGGUUGGGGAUGGACUCGCGGCUUAUCAGCUUGUUGGUGGGGUAGUGGCUUACCAAGGCUUUGACGGGUAGCCGGCCUGAGAGGGUGACCGGCCCCAUGGGGCCAGGGAAGCGGCCCAGAUGCUAAGGGGGGGAAGAGGGGGGAAUAUUGCACAAUGGGCGGAAGCCUGAUGCAGCAACGCCGCGUGCGGGAUGACGGCCUUCGGGUUGUAAACCGCUUUCGCCUGUGACGAAGCGUGAGUGACGGUAAUGGGUAAAGAAGCACCGGCUAACUACGUG